GCAACAGCUCAAAUUUGAAAUCUGGCUACCAUCCCGAUAGUCCGAGUUGUAAUUUGUAGAGGAUGCUUUUGGUGAGGUGCCUUCCGAGUUCCCUGGAACGGGACGCCAUAGAGGGUGAGAGCCCCGUACGGUUGGAUACCAAGCCUCUGUAUAGCUCCUUCAACGAGUCGAGUAGUUUGGGAAUGCUGCUCUAAAUGGGAGGUAUAUCUCUUCUAAAGCUAAAUAUAGGCUAGAGACCGAUAGCGCACAA
rnacentral:rRNA from 1 species